CAAAGGAAUAUAUUCACAUCUAUAUACACUGACAGGAGUGGAAUUCAGGAUGGUCUUCUGCUGCUGUAGUCCAUCUGCUUCAAGAUGCUGUCAUGCUCAUGUCAAAUGGAGUUGUUGCUGUGUGACUGGCUCAUUAGAUACUUGCAUUCACAAGCAGACAGUUGUAUGUAAGAAUUAGGAAGAUCCACCUCACCUUUGC